AUGGGACAAGGAUGUGAACCCAGGCAGUCUGCCAAUAGAGACUGCACUUUUUACCAUGCUGCCAGUUUGUGGUGGUCCCUUGUCUGCUUCCCAGGGACAUACGAUCACAAGUGGGAGGAUUCAGGAAUGAAUGGCCCUCUGCCCACAGAGAAGAUGCAUUACUUCUUCUCAGAGGUAGAAGAGACUCCCACACUGCUGAUCCCAGGUCUUGAAGAGAGAACUAGAGGAUCUUAUGAGUCACUGUUUGGGAACAUGAACAUUUCUAGCUGUACUUUCUUAUUUCAUGUUUUUCUGUCAAGAGGAACAUUUUCUGCUACAUGGUAACAAUGAAGAUGAUGAUCAGUGAGGGUUAAAUCUCAAUGGAUUAUUUACCACAUUAGUUAAAAUUUCAUCAGCUUCACAGAACAUCUCCUGCCCAACAUGUCUUAGGGUACAGAUAAGAAAUAUAACUUUCCUUCUGUUUGAUGUUUAAAAGAUUGAUUCUUUUGCCCUUGGUCCCUGAUGAGCCAUUCAUAAACAAAUACAUGGAUCAUCACAGAGUUUCAGGCUGGUGGAAGAAGAUCCUUUUAAAAAAUCUAGCUAUGGGCUCUAUGGCUGGUUGCUUAGCAUCUCGAACACAUUUUCCCCUUCAUCUAUCAGAACAGUGUUUAUCAGCCAUGUGAAUUGGCUCAAAGCAAACUUGAAGCCCCUUAUGUUUAUUUCAUGCUCAGUAAAAACAUCAUCAGCCUUCCCACUCUUGUUAGAAUUAUGGUGAUAAAACUUUGGGUGUACAUGACUUACACCACUACAUCCACUGUAAAGUUAUAUUAGAGUCUGGCUUUUAAGUGUUAUAUAUUUGCUUUUUGUUUUUUUGUUUGUUGGUUUUAAGGCAAUGCUGUGAUCACUGCUCAAAUCAUGUAGCUAAUUGGGGGCGCCUGGGUGGCGUAGUCGGUUAAGCAUCCGACUUCAGCCAGGUCACGAUCUUGCGGUCUGUGAGUUCGAGCCCCGUGUCGGGCUCUGAGCUGAUGGCUCAGAGCCUGGAGCCUGUUUCCGAUUCUGUGUCUCCCUCUCUCUCUGCCCUUCCCCCAUUCAUGCUCUCUCUCUCUCUGUCCCAAAAAUAAAUAAACGUUGAAAAAAAUAAAAAUUAAAAAA
rnacentral:lncRNA from 1 species